UACAGAGGGGGCAAGCGUUAUUCGGAAUUAUUGGGCGUAAAGGGCGCGUAGGUGGCCUGGUAAGUCGGGGGUGAAACGCUGCGGCUCAACCGCAGCACUGCCUUCGAGACUGUCAGGCUUGAGCACGGUAGAGGCUGGUGGAACUCCCAGUGUAGAGGUGAAAUUCGUAGAUAUUGGGAAGAACACCGGUGGCGAAGGCGGCUCACUGGCUCAUUUCUGACGCUCAGGCGCGACAGCGUGGGGAUCAAACAGG
rnacentral:rRNA from 1 species